GACGAACGCUGGCGGCGUGCCUAAUACAUGCAAGUUGAGCGAUGAAGCUUGGUGCUUGCACCAAUUUGAAGAGCAGCGCACGGGUGAGUAACGCGUGGGGAAUCUGCCUUUGAGCGGGGGACAACAUUUGGAAACGAAUGCUAAUACCGCAUAACAACUUUAAACAUAAGUUUUAAGUUUGAAAGAUGCAAUUGCAUCACUCAAAGAUGAUCCCGCGUUGUAUUAGCUAGUUGGUGAGGUAAAGGCUCACCAAGGCGAUGAUACAUAGCCGACCUGAGAGGGUGAUCGGCCACAUUGGGACGGAGACACGGCCCAAACUCCUACGGGAGGCAGCAGUAGGGAAUCUUCGGCAAUGGACGAAAGUCUGACCGAGCAACGCCGCGUGAGUGAAGAAGGUUUUCGGAUCGUAAAACUCUGUUGGUAGAGAGGAACGUUGGUGAGAGUGGAAAGCUCAUCAAGUGACGGUAACUACCCAGAAAGGGACGGCUAACUACGUG
rnacentral:rRNA from 1 species